rnacentral:tRNA from 1 species
CCUUCGAUAGCUCAGUUGGUAGAGCGGUGGACUGUAGAAAGCAGAUAACGGUUGAGUUGUCUCACGAUUGAGAGAAAUCCAUAGGUCACUGGUUCAAAUCCGGUUCGAAGGA